CGGAGAAGGAGCUGUAGAUGAGAUGGACCGAUCUGGGAAUUCCUACAAUUACUAAUGAGGGAAAUCCAGAGGUCCAAAAUAUUUGAAGGACCGGAAGACAAAAGACUACUGGCUCUUGAUACUCAUGCUCUUGAGAAUGCCUUGUACACGACCAUUGCAAAAAUGAUUGCAAUGUGCAUAGUUCAUGGUGGAGUUGGCCCUCAUUUUUUUUUUCUAAUCAUCUUUUCAUGCAACUCUGUGGUAAGUGUACACUUCCUGUUUCCCUUGAGUAAAUAGCAGACAGCAUCUUCAGAGAAAAACUCUCAAAGAUUAAAGAAGCAGACUCUGUUGAACAUGCAAAUUCUGCAAUCUCAGAUGCUGGAGACAGUCUGUACAUGAUGGGAGCACUUAGGUACAUCUCAUCUCUUGAAGAGAGGGAUUCCCUGGUCCAAUCUGCAGCAGAAUACUUUGUGAAUGGGCAGACAAAUUUGGCUCUCAGACAAAGGUGACUGCAAUCCGUUGACACUGCCAAUGGUACUGGAGUUUGCUUCUGGAGCCUCAUCUGUGCCUCCACUAGGAUUCCCCCAUCAGCAAAAAAUCGAAUUUCUUCAUACAUCUGGUCAAGACACCAGAGUAUUUCCAGAAGCCAACACAUGCCUUAUUGUUCUUAGACUUUCAAUUCACAGUACUUACGAAUCUUUAAGACCCUACAUAGGUGAAGGUAUUUUGCAGUCACUAACUUUCGGCACCACAAAAUAAUUCAUGUACCUUGUUCAUGUAAGGGUGUUAAAUGAAAUACUUCAUGUUUCAGCACAGUUUCAAAAGUUAAUGAAACAAUCCUCUUAACACUUCUUCACUAAAAUGCCAUCUCAAACAAGUUUUACAGUUACUGUGUUUACUGUUAUUGUUGUACUAUUCUUACCUUUAAUGUUAGUUUUUGUUUACAAUUGUAGAUACACACUUUGUUUCAUUUACUUUACAUCAAAUAUAU